GUCCCUGCAGGCACCAAACGGGGGCUGAGCAUCGGCAGCUGCUCCCAGUGGAGCUCUGCAAGGAC
ensembl:miRNA